CCAUUGUGGGCUCAGCUGUCUGCGAUGAUUCUAGACGGAUUCUUUUAUUUGGAAGUUGAAGUUCUAGAUCUUGGACUUUUGGAAAAAGAUCUUUUUCAGGCAAGCAUAAUAAAAAGCCUUUAUCGGGAGCUCGUAGUGCUAAGUUCAGCCUGAGAGUUUGGUUUAUUUGUACGUGCUCAUUUCUGCUGAUAGUGCUCGGACUUGUUGGACCACUCUAUCAUAAAGAACCUAUAAAAUUAAAAAUUCCUUACUUGACAAAGGUUCUCCCCUUAUGGAUGGAAAGGUUACCCGCCUCCGCCCGAUCGAUUUAAUCUAUUCCCACCUUCACAUGCUUGCUGGAUUACAGGUUGGCUUGCUAGCGUCUUGCUAUUGGCUUUCUAGCUAAUACGGCUUUUUUCUAAGGUGAAAUUGUUCAAUCUGAACUUAUACCUUUAAGACUUGAAGAGAGAAGAUACCUUCGCCCACCCACCAUGCUACGCGAAAGAUGAACUUCAAUAAGUAGAGCCUUUACGCCUAUUAUUUAUCUUUAUUCAAAGUAAGCAGAUCGAAAGCACGAAAAGGAAUGUCUUAGCGUGCCCUUACUCUAAUUCUAAAUAAAGACUCUUUCGCGCACUAAGUCAAGCAGGGAGUUUUAUCGGUUACAGUAGCCCGGUUCCCCAAAACUUGUUCUCAUCCGAGGCAGUGCAGAGUUGGUCAAGUGCUCUCUCUCUCCUCUUCCUCUGGCCUGGAAUAGAACUGCCAUAUUCAAUAGCUCUAGCCUAAGGAAGAAUUCAUUUGAGUGAGAAUCCGAACUUGCUUAUUCCAAUUUCCUAUAGCUGUCCGCUUCCAGAAUAGUAGGAAGAGAAGUAAUGAAACCGAACCAACCCACGAAUGACACGGUGGCUGCAGCUUCAAUCUCGUUCAAUCGGCCGCUAUUCAUUACUUUUCAAAAUUCUUUCUUUGUUUCAA
rnacentral:lncRNA from 1 species